AUCCAACUGAAGAGUCCUAGAUAAGACUAAACGGUUGUCCUGAAU
rnacentral:hammerhead_ribozyme from 1 species